GACGAACGCUGGCGGCGUGCUUAACACAUGCAAGUCGAACGUGAUUUUUGUGGAAAUUCUUUCGGGAAUGGAAAUGAAAUGAAAGUGGCGAACGGGUGAGUAACACGUUAGCAACCUACCUUACACAGGGGGAUAGCCGUUGGAAACGACAAUUAAUACCGCAUGAGACCACAGAAUCGCAUGAUAUAGGGGUCAAAGAUUUAUCGGUGUAAGAAGGGCUCGCUUCUGAUUAGCUAGGUGGAAGGGUAAAGGCCUACCAAGGCGACGAUCAGUGGCCGGUAUGAGAGGCUGAACGGCUACAUCGGAGCUGAGACACGGUCCAAACCCGUACGGGAGGGAGCAGUGGGGAAUAUUGCACAAUGGGGGGAAAUCUGAUGCCGCGACGACGGGUGUGCGAAGAAGGUUGUUGAAACGUAAAGCUCUGUGAUAUGAGAAGAUAAUGACGGUAUCAUAUGAGGAAGCCCCGGCUAACUACGUG
rnacentral:rRNA from 1 species